UUCCAGUUGCUGACGCUAGGAGCUGUCCGCGGUGCUGAAACGGCAGCGGCUUGCUGAGUUGAAGGCGCUGACAGCACUCAGAGCGAGCAGUCCGCUUACUGAGCAUUGAAAUUAAACAUUCUCUGCCUCUCAGGCAAUUUCAGUUACAAAUCUGCUCACUAUCCGACUCUCAAAACCUGAAGGCCUUCCGUGUCGUGUGGGUGUUUUCCGAGGAAUCGGGAAGUCGCUGUCAGGGCGAAUAUUUUAAUUGUUUAUCUUGCUUUUUGUCUGGAAAGUGUUUAACACAGGGACAUAUUAUUUUGUAAACGGAGGAAUCCACUUCAGUAGACAUGUGUACAAGAGGAGACUACCGAAUGAACGUGUUAGUUAUGGUGUUGAUGCUCUGCGCUUCUUCAAUGGAAAUUCGUGGUCAAGGUCUUUAUCCGGAGCAGAAGAGUGCGGUGGGAAAGAAGGAGUUUGCCUUUGAGUCGGCAGGAGGACCCGGCCCCUUUGCGACCACCCAUGACACCGAAAGGGAGGUCCACCCGGGCACCACGGCCUCUCCGCCCAACUUUCCCCACCAUCGCCCGCUCUUCAAGGGGUUCGUCCUCCGCGAGGGGUUGCUCACAAAAGACUUCAGGGGAGACCAGCAGUUCUUUGCAGAAGAUGGGGCCUUGGCGGGUCACCCAACGACGCCCGCACCCGGCUCUCGCUUCUCCGAAGACGCCUCGACCCGGGUGGUGCCCCACGAGGAUGCCCCCGCCUACUCCGACCUUGCCACCACCUCUGCCACCACGGCAGCCACCCUUGCCAUGACCACCGCGGCUGCCGUUACCAUGGAGCCGCCCGUCUCCAUGGUGGUUGCCAUGGCGGCUAAGGAUCGCGGGAGGACCUCUGAGGUGGAGGUCGCGGUGACCACCGACUCCUUGACCACGCCCGUCAUGCUGACCUCCGACCCCCCGCCGCGCAGAGACGGCCCCGCCCUUUCCGUGCCUGCGAGGGACGGGCCCCCCGUUCGGGACGCGGUCACCGUGGCGACCAGCCUCGCUCCUCCUCGGGCCCUGACGACUUCGACGGGGCAGGGCGAAGAGGAGCCGCGCGCGCCUGGGGCAGGACGCAACCCGGGCCGCGGCGGCGAGGUCACCACCGCGGCAUCCUCCACCUCGUCCUCAGGGGACGUGGACGAGGAAACUACGACAACCACAAUCAUCACCACCACCAUCAUCACCACCAUGCAGAUGCCAGUUCCGUGCAACAUGAACUACACCAGUCCGAAUGGGUACAUCGAGACUGCGUGGUACGACUCCAGCGCGGACUGCACCUUCACUGUGACCGUGUACCUGGGAUAUGGAGUGGAGGUCCAGGUCCUGAACGUGAGCCUGUCGGAGGGGGAGGUGGUGACCCUGGAGGACGUGGGCGGCCGCGAGCACUCCGUCCUGGCCAACGAGUCGGUCCUGAUGAAGGGGCUGGUCGUGCGAAGCUCCAGCAAUCAGAUCUCCGUCCGCUUCCGGAGCGACCACCCGCAGCCCGGCUCCUUCCUGCUGCGUUACCAAGCCUUCGUGUUGAGCUGUGCGUUCCCCCGCCGGCCAGCCUAUGGGGAUGUGUCGGUCACCAGCCUCCAUGCUGGGGGAGAGGCCUUCUUCUACUGCUUCACUGGGUACCAGCUGCACGGGCCCUCCAGCCUCGCCUGCCGCAACGCCACCACGCCCUACUGGAGCGGCAAGGAGCCCCAGUGCUUGGCCGCAUGCGGGGGAAUGGUCAAGAACGCCACGGUGGGGCGCAUCGUCUCUCCCGGUUUCCCUGGCAACUACAGCAACAACCUGACCUGCCACUGGGUGCUGGAGGCCCCCGAGGAGCAGCGGCUGCACAUCCACUUUGAGAAGGUGGCCCUGGCGGAGGACGAUGACAGGCUUCUGAUAAAGGACGGGAACAACAUCGACUCCCCGCCCGUGUACGACUCCUACGAGGUGGAGUACCUGCCCAACGAGGGCGUCGCCAGCACGGGCCGCCACCUCUUCGUCGAGUUCACCAGCGACGGCGCGGGCACCUCAACCGGCGCCGCCGUGCGAUACGAAGCGUUCGCUCGGGGGAACUGCUACGAGCCGUUCGUGAAGUACGGCAACUUCACCAGCAGCGACGGCGCCUACCGCGUGGGCGCGGUGGUGGAGUUCACCUGCGACCCCGGCUACACGCUGGAGCAGGGCUCCGUCAUCAUCGAGUGCCUGGACCCCGACAACCCCCAGUGGAACGAGACCGAGCCCGCCUGCAGAGCCGUCUGCAGCGGAGAGAUCACAGACUCGGCGGGGGUGAUCCUGUCCCCCAACUGGCCCGAGGCCUACGACAAGGGCCAGGACUGCAUCUGGGGCGUCCACGUGGAGGAGGACAAGAGAAUCAUGCUGGACAUCCAAGUGCUCCACGUGGGAAAGAACGACGUCCUGACCUUCUACGACGGCGACGACCUGACCGCCAACAUCCUGGGCCAGUACAGCGGCUCGCACCCGCGCUUCAAGCUCUACACCUCCAUGGCCGACGUCACCGUCCAGUUCCAGACCGACCCCGCCACCAACAUCUUCGGCUACCACAACGGCUUCGUGGUCCACUUUUUCGAGGUCCCUCGUAAUGACACGUGUCCUGAGCUGCCGGAGAUCACCAGCGGGUGGAAGAGCACCUCGCACCCGGAGCUCAUCCAUGGCACGGUGGUCACCUACCAGUGCUACCCGGGCUUUCAGCUGGCGGGCACCGAGAUCCUCAUGUGCCAGUGGGACCUGACGUGGAGCGGGGACGUGCCCAGCUGUGAGAGAGUGACGUCGUGUCCAGACCCUGGGAACGUGGAGCACAGCCACAGGGUGAUAGCCGGCUCCCAUUUCUCCGUGGGCUCCACGGUGCAGUACGUCUGUAGCAAGGGCUACGCGCUAGCCGGGGCCAGCCUGCUCACCUGCCACAGCCGAGACUCAGCCAUCCCCAAGUGGAGCGAGAGGCUGCCCAAGUGUGUCCCGGAGACGUACGAGCCGUGCAGGAACCCUGGCGUCCCCGCGUCCAGCGUCAAGAGCGCGGAGAAGCGCUUCUACCAGGCGGGGGAGACGCUGAGCUUCUCCUGCGUGAGCGGCUACGAGCUGCAGGGACAGCCCGCCAUCCGCUGCGUCCCCGGACACCCCUCGCAGUGGAGCAGCCCGCCCCCUGCCUGUAGAGCGUCCUCUUCGGUCUACUUAAACGAACGCCGGCUGGACGUUUCCAAUUCAGAACUGAGCAUGGAGGGGACGAACAUAGCGAUUGCCGUCUUGAUACCCGCUGCUGUCGUCAUGUUGGUCAUCCUUGGGAUUUACCUCUAUUUCUCAAAAGUCCAGGGGAAGUCCUUCCGCCUGCCCACGUCCAGCACGCCGCCGUACGACCACAUGACUGUGGAGUCCGCCUUCGACAAUCCCAUCUACGAGACCGGACCUCGGCUCGCGCUCUCUGAUUACUAAUGACUGUGUCUGUCUGUCCCCCCUGCGACUGCACCCUCACGAAGAACAACGAGGAGACAAGAGAAUACGAAGUAUCCAUUUAGAGAGAUUUCAGAACGAGGGAUAUUUGGCCUCUUUUUUGCCUUGUGGGAAAUUUUUCUGCACCUUUCAUCUCUCCCAUAUGACUCCUUUGGCUAUUCCCGUUUCCCUCCUUCCCUCUUCCUCUCCUCUCCUGGCGCUGCAGAUACCCGUACCAUCAGAGGACGUCGGCCAACACUCCCAAGUGUGGACAACAUGGUGUUAUUUUUGUACAGCUUCUGUAGUGAUGGCUUAAUUUCAGUCCUUGUAUACUUUCAGUCCUGUGAUAGAGUCCAGCAGUUAAACAUCCUAAAGGGAACAAACUUACAAUUUAUUUAUUGUAUUACUUUUUGUAUGUUAUUUAUAAGUGUUACCAGACAACAAUUCAUAAACUGGCCUCAAUCUGAAUAUGACCCAAAUUGGUUGGAAUUAGCCUUUUAUCAAUGUGCAGCGAAUACAUUUAAGAAAUACAUUUGUCCUCGCAUGAUCUUAACAUUGCUACAGUAGCUCCAGAAGGACACUUCGAUGAACAUCUCUAUAAUGAUCGCUAUAACCUUCCUGUUGGAAGUUCCUGACCUGACACAACUGUAAAUAAACCAUUGAAGGUUUAUCUGUGGUUUUCAAAUGGAAAUGGUAUACACUGUGCCGCUUUUCCACACACCCAAUCAGGUCUUUUGUUCAUGUAACAAUACUCCUUCCUUCCUUCAUACAUUGCCAGUUGUUUUCUGUGAUGUAUAAUUAGAGCCACGGCUUGGUGAUAUGUGCAAAGCAAAGAUAUAACUGAAAUUAUACCAGACUAAACAAAGGUGAGUUAAACAUUAUCUAUGGGUAUGAAUUAUUUCCUGUAUUGCAUAAUUUUAUGUGUUCUGUUUUCACGCCCUCUUUUACAAUGUCAGCCAGUUCCAAAUCAGCUAGACAGACAUAAACAAAAAUACAGUUCUUUUUCAUUUGAUUACACAGUAGUAUUUUCCAUAUUUAUUUGUGAUUUUAGUGCGGUUAACAUUUUAAGUUCUCAAAUGAACAGAAGCCAAACUAUACCAUACCAUGCAGAGAUUAUUGCCUUCCCCUAAAGUCUAAUGGUUAUUUGUACUCCCCAGUACCUGCACCUUCUAUGUAAUGUUAUAUUUAUCUUACUUUUCAAUAUUAUGCCCUAACAUAUGGUUCAGUUUGCUUAACUAAUAUGUAUUUCCUAUACAUUUGAUUACCUCCAUGUACAAGAAGGUUUCUGCUAGUCUCUACCAACCCCAUUGUGUUUAACAAAAUGGCACCUGAAACGCUAAAUGAAAGUGUAAUGGUAUAGCCAAGUCCCCUACAAUGACUGUUUGACUUUUUGGAAAGCAGAAGUAAUGUUCUUUUUUGGGUAUGCUUAUUCUCCCCACCACUGUAAUACGGAAUGAAGUGCAUGAAAGUGUUUUAGGAAUGAUACAUGCAAUAUAAUAUGAACCAAGUUCCAUUUUAACCAAGGAUUCACAGUGGAGUGACAGAAUUGGCUUUGUUCCACCAAGGGUAGGAGGCUUUAAUUAUCAGUUGCUACCAGUGACCAAUAUGCCACUCCUCCAGUCGCCACUAUUCCUCUGGUAGUGCCAUGUAGAGAGUGAAGUAGUCCAGCAGGUACACAAGAAGAUGGCAUGCACUCCAGCUCCAGUACCCAGGCACAUGGCUUCACAUAUCACAGCAUACCAGAACAGCCACAAUGGCCAACUCCAGACAGAGAAGAAAGAAGAAAUGAUUGGUAAAUCAAAAAGUUUCUACAAAACAAAUAGUCUGACAAUAUGUAAAGGCGGAAGAAAGAAUGUAACAGUUCCAUCCUUAUAUUCAUUUCUUGCAGUAGUGAAUUAGACAAAACCACAGUGACACAAUUUUGCCAGAGGUAGGAUGCCAGUGAUUUUAUUCACUCGUAAUUUCAACCCUUAAAUGACACUAUGAUUUCUGUCAGACCGCCAUGGCCACAAGAAAAUAGCUUAAACCACACGCAACAGUAUCAACGUCACAGUUUCAUUAAACAGUGUAUUCAGCUGAAGUCAGUGCUUUUAACCUUUACAGAAAAGCAAUACUAAAAUGAAAUGGUUUUGUAAAGGCUGUCAGAGCAUUGAUUCUACUUUAAGUAUUGCACUGUACCUUGGUACAGUGCGAUAUAUUUGUCCUCUUAAAUUGUUCUCCAUAUAGUCAGACAAAUAAUUAACAAUGAAAUACAUGUAUAUAGGUAAACAGUGACCAGUGGGAGCUGGUGAAUGCGUGAUGCCAGUUUGUUCCUUUGUCACAUUUUGAUUUUUACAGGUGAUUUUCCUGUAAAUGAAAUGUAAGCAUGUUUAUCGAGGACCCUCUCUUACGGUAUCCGAGUGGUUCUUCCCUCCAAAUUUAAGAACCAGUAGCCACCAUACAACACAUAGGAUGUGUAGACCUACACAUUCACUGUUAUUACCUAUAUAUUUUUUUUACCUUUUGAUAUACUCCAUAUUACAAUAUAUAGCAGCAAGCCAAGAUGUGUUUAUUUUCAAUGUGUGCUGAAAGUCUUUACCUUGAUUGUCCUUACCCUAAUUUCAAGUUCUUGUAAUUGUAUCGCCAUGUACAGGCAAGGAGGAAGAUAAACCUUGUGUGUCAAAAUACUAAUGAACUGCACCUGUAAAUUCUGAAAAACUACAGAUGUAAAGUGGGUAUAUAUUUUAUUACUCAAGUAUUCCUGCAGCCAAAAAAAAGCUGCAGAGCAGGAUUCAAAUGGUAAUGUAAGAUAUUUUCUAAAAUUCGUAUUGAGCAGAUGUAACUUGAAGACAAAAAAUUGAAGACAAAAUAUUCUUCAUUGAAACCUUGUUGAUCUUACUCCAAAUGCAAUGCUUGUUCAGUGCAGCACAGCCCACUGAAAUAAAGUUAUAAGCAUUUCAGUGGAAUGUUGUAACAUUAUUAUUAUAAGUAUUAUUAUUAUUAUCAUCAUCAUUAUUGCUGUCAACAGCGUAAUAGAAAAAACUGCAAAGGAGUAUAAAGAUUAUGUUGUAACAUGUUUCACUGUAUAACUGAGGGUCUUAAACACCCAAAUGGACAAAGAAUCAUGUAAAUAAAACAGAUUCUUCAGUAAUAAAAAAUAAGCACUUUACCGCUUCAAA